UGUCUAGUAUAAGCACUUGUACUGUGAAACUGCGAAUGGCUCAUUAAAUCAGUUAUCGUUUAUUUGAUAGUACCUUACUACAUGGAUACCUGUGGUAAUUCUAGAGCUAAUACAUGCUAAAAACCCCGACUUCAGGAAGGGGUGUAUUUAUUAGAUAAAAAACCAACGCCCUUCGGGGCUCCUUGGUGAAUCAUAAUAACUUAACGAAUCGCAUGGCCUUGCGCCGGCGAUGGUUCAUUCAAAUUUCUGCCCUAUCAACUUUCGAUGGUAGGAUAGUGGCCUACCAUGGUGGCAACGGGUAACGGGGAAUUAGGGUUCGAUUCCGGAGAGGGAGCCUGAGAAACGGCUACCACAUCCAAGGAAGGCAGCAGGCGCGCAAAUUACCCAAUCCCGAUACGGGGAGGUAGUGACAAUAAAUACUGAUACGGGGCUCUUUUGGGUCUCGUAAUUGGAAUGAGAACAAUUUAAAUCCCUUAACGAGGAACAAUUGGAGGGCAAGUCUGGUGCCAGCAGCCGCGGUAAUUCCAGCUCCAAUAGCGUAUAUUAAAGUUGUUGCAGUUAAAAAGCUCGUAGUUGAACCUUGGGUCUGGCUGGCCGGUCCGCCUCACCGCGAGUACUGGUCCGGCUGGACCUUUCCUUCUGGGGAACCUCAUGGCCUUCACUGGCUGUGGGGGGAACCAGGACUUUUACUGUGAAAAAAUUAGAGUGUUCAAAGCAGGCCUUUGCUCGAAUACAUUAGCAUGGAAUAAUAGAAUAGGACGUGUGGUUCUAUUUUGUUGGUUUCUAGGACCGCCGUAAUGAUUAAUAGGGAUAGUCGGGGGCGUCAGUAUUCAGCUGUCAGAGGUGAAAUUCUUGGAUUUGCUGAAGACUAACUACUGCGAAAGCAUUCGCCAAGGAUGUUUUCAUUAAUCAGGGAACGAAAGUUAGGGGAUCGAAGACGAUCAGAUACCGUCGUAGUCUUAACCAUAAACUAUGCCGACUAGGGAUCGGACGGGAUUCUAUAAUGACCCGUUCGGCACCUUACGAGAAAUCAAAGUUUUUGGGUUCUGGGGGGAAUAUGGUCGCAAGGCUGAAACUUAAAGAAAUUGACGGAAGGGCACCCCAAGGCGUGGAGCCUGCGGCUUAAUUUGACU
rnacentral:rRNA from 1 species